AACGAACGCUGGCGGCAGGCUUAACACAUGCAAGUCGAACGCCCCGCAAGGGGAGUGGCAGACGGGUGAGUAACGCGUGGGAAUCUACCCAUCUCUGCGGAAUAGCUCUGGGAAACUGGAAUUAAUACCGCAUACGCCCUACGGGGGAAAGAUUUAUCGGGGAUGGAUGAGCCCGCGUUGGAUUAGCUAGUUGGUGGGGUAAAGGCCUACCAAGGCGACGAUCCAUAGCUGGUCUGAGAGGAUGAUCAGCCACAUUGGGACUGAGACCCGGCCCAAACGCCUACGGGAGGCAGCAGCGGGGAAGAUUGGACAAUUGGCGCAAGCCUGAUCCAGCCAUGCCGCGUGAGUGAUGAAGGCCUUAGGGUUGUAAAGCUCUUUCACCGAUGCAGAUAAUGACGGUAGUCGGAGAAGAAGCCCCGGCUAACUUCGUGCCAGCCGCCGCCGUAA
rnacentral:rRNA from 1 species